rnacentral:tRNA from 1 species
UGGCCCGUGGUGUAAUUGGUAACACAGGUGGUUUUGGUCCAUCAAUUUAAGGUUCAAGUCCUUACGGGCCAA